rnacentral:siRNA from 1 species
CGGAGGACCGAGUGCCGCUCA